rnacentral:rRNA from 1 species
UACGUAGGUUGCGAGCGUUAAUCGGAAUUACUGGGCGUAAAGCGUGCGCAGGCGGUGAUGUAAGACCGAUGUGAAAUCCCCGGGCUUAACCUGGGAACUGCAUUGGUGACUGCAUUGCUGGAGUAUGGCAGAGGGGGGUGGAAUUCCACGUGUAGCAGUGAAAUGCGUAGAGAUGUGGAGGAACACCGAUGGCGAAGGCAGCCCCCUGGGCCAAUACUGACGCUCAUGCACGAAAGCGUGGGGAGCAAACAGG